rnacentral:rRNA from 1 species
UUGGAGGGCAAGUCUGGUGCCAGCAGCCGCGGUAAUUCCAGCUCCAAUAGCGUAUAUUAAAGUUGUUGCAGUUAAAAAGCUCGUAGUUGAAUUUCGAGACCGGUCUACUGGUCGUGCUUUUGUACGUACUGGUUUUAUUGGUUUCUCCUUUCUGACGAACUAUAAUGCCAUUAAUUUGGUGUUAUGGGGAAUCAGGACUGUUACUUUGAAAAAAUUAGAGUGUUUAAAGCAGGCUCACGCUUGAAUACAUUAGCAUGGAAUAACGGAAUAGGACGUUUGAUUCUAUUUUGUUGGUUUCUAGGAUCGACGUAAUGAUUAAUAGGGAUAGUUGGGGGCAUUAGUAUUCAAUUGUCAGAGGUGAAAUUCUUGGAUUUAUUGAAGACUAACUACUGCGAAAGCAUUUGCCAAGGAUGUUUUCAUUAAUCAAGAACGAAAGUUAGGGGAUCGAAGGCGAUCAGAUACCGUCGUAGUCUUAACCAUAAACUAUGCCGACUAGGGAUCGGAUGAUGUUAAUUUUUUAAUGACUCAUUCGGCGCCUUACGGGAAAC